ACGGGACCGCACAAGCGGUGGAUGAUGUGGAUUAAUUCGAUCGCAACGCGAAAACCUUACCUACCCUUGACAUGUCCGGAAUCCGAAGAGAUUUGGGAGUGCUCGCAAGAGAGCCGGAACACAGGUGCUGCAUGGCUGUCGUCAGCUCGUGUCGUGAGAUGUUGGGUUAAGUCCCGCAACGAGCGCAACCCUUGUCAUUAGUUGCCAUCAUUUGGUUGGGCACUCUAAUGAGACUGCCGGUGACAAACCGGAGGAAGGUGGGGAUGACGUCAAGUCCUCAUGGCCCUUAUGGGUAGGGCUUCACACGUCAUACAAUGGUCGGUACAGAGGGUUGCCAACCCGCGAGAGGGAGCUAAUCCCACAAAGCCGAUCGUAGUCCGGAUCGCAGUCUGCAACUCGACUGCGUGAAGUCGGAAUCGCUAGUAAUCGUGGAUCAGCAUGUCACGGUGAAUACGUUCCCGGGUCUU
rnacentral:rRNA from 1 species